CCCGAAUAACAUUUAGCUGUGGGCUCUGCGCGGCUUUGGCGCUGGUCUGAGGUGGCAAAUUGUGAAUCCCAUUUAUUCAAGCGAAGCCGCGCACGUGCCUGUGUAAUUUACAAAAACAAAUCCAGGUCAAGAUAUCCGUCCGCUUGAGGUUUAAAAGCCUACUGUGGAGAGCCGCACAAAUCUCUACCCAUUCAUUCACUCCUUCGCUCCCUCAACAAGUGUUUAUUGCGCACUUCGGUAUUCCAGGCAGGGCGCUAACCUAGCCCUAGCGGGGAGAACGGUGAACGCGAGAGACGUGGUGUUUGGCUCCCCCCCCCCCGCCCCCUCUCCGAUUUUACUACCUCGUGGGCGACGCAGUCCCAGAAGAAGGAAAUGUGUCAGCCCGGGGAUGACCUGUACCGGCGGCGCCUAGCGGUUGGGUGGUCAGGGCAGGCUCCCUGGAGGCGGCGGCGGCCCGAGCCCGGCACGCAGGACUGGUCCCGCGGCCCUGCGGAACCGGCUCGGAGGAGAGCCAUCGGUGGAGAGAUUUCAAAAACCUUCAGGAAGCCACGGGCGUAUCGUUGUUUUCCACCCUGCUUCUUUGAAUUUUCUGAAAAUUGUUGAUCCUCACUAACUUCAUGAAACCUUUUUCUUUUAAGAAAUCCAGUUUAAUUGGGCACUCCUGGGUGGGUGAAGCUUCUGCCUUCGGCUCAGGUCAUGAUCCCAGGGUCCUGGGAUUGAGCCCCACGUCGGGCUCCCUGCUCGGCGGGGAGCCUGCUUCUCCCUCUCCCUCUGCCCCUCCCCCUGCUUGUGUUCUCUCUCUCUCUCUCAGAUAAAUAAAUAAAAUCUUAAAGAAACAAGA
rnacentral:lncRNA from 1 species